rnacentral:rRNA from 1 species
AUUGAACGCUAGCGGGAUGCCUUACACAUGCAAGUCGAACGGAGUGGCGAACGGGUAAGUAAUGUAUCGGAACGUGCCCAGUAGCGGGGGAUAACUACGCGAAAGCGUAGCUAAUACCGCAUACUAUUUGAGCGGCCGAUAUCGGAUUAGCUAGUGGGUGGGGUAACGUCUCACCAAGGCGACGAUCCGUAGCUGGUUUGGGAGGACGACCAGCCACACUGGGACUGAUACACGGCCCAUGCUCCUACGGGAGGCAGCAGUGGGGAAUUUUGGACACUUGGGGAAACCCUGAUCCAGCCAUCCCGCGUGUGCGAUGAAGGCUGUCGGGUUGUAAAGCACUUUUGGCAGGAAAGCGGUACCUGCAGAAUAAGCACCGGCUAACUACGUGGCAGCAGCCGCGGUAAUAC